UACAGAGGGUGCAAGCGUUGUUCGGAAUUAUUGGGCGUAAAGCGCGUGUAGGCGGCUUGUUAAGUCGGGUGUGAAAGCCCUCAGCUUAACUGGGGAACUGCGUGUGAUACUGGAUGGCUUGGAUUUGGGAGAGGGAUGCGGAAUUCCAGGUGUAGCGGUGAAAUGCGUAGAUAUCUGGAGGAACACCGGUGGCGAAGGCGGCAUCCUGGACCGGCAUUGACGCUGAGGCGCGAAAGCGUGGGGAGCAAACAGG
rnacentral:rRNA from 1 species